CCUACGGGGGGCAGCAGUGAGGAAUAUUGGUCAAUGGACGAGAGUCUGAACCAGCCACGUAGCGUGAAGGAUGACUGCCCUAUGGGUUGUAAACUUCUUUUAUAUGGGAAUAAAAUGUUCCACGUGUGGGAUUUUGUAUGUACCAUAUGAAUAAGGAUCGGCUAACUCCGUGCCAGCAGCCGCGGUAAUACGGAGGAUCCGAGCGUUAUCCGGAUUUAUUGGGUUUAAAGGGAGCGUAGGUGGAUUGUUAAGUCAGUUGUGAAAGUUUGCGGCUCAACCGUAAAAUUGCAGUUGAAACUGGCAGUCUUGAGUACAGUAGAGGUGAGCGGAAUUCGUGGUGUAGCGGUGAAAUGCUUAGAUAUCACGAAGAACUCCGAUUGCGAAGGCAGUUCACUGGACUGCAACUGACACUGAGGCUCGAAAGUGUGGGUAUCAAACAGGAUUAGAUACCCGAGUAGUC
rnacentral:rRNA from 1 species